UACGUAGGGUGCAAGCGUUAAUCGGAAUUACUGGGCGUAAAGCGUGCGCAGGCGGUUGUGCAAGACAGAUGUGAAAUCCCCGGGCUCAACCUGGGAACUGCAUUUGUGACUGCACGGCUGGAGUGCGGCAGAGGGGGAUGGAAUUCCGCGUGUAGCAGUGAAAUGCGUAGAGAUGUGGAGGAACACCGAUGGCGAAGGCAGCCUCCUGGGCCAGCACUGACGCUCAUGCACGAAAGCGUGGGGAGCAAACAGG
rnacentral:rRNA from 1 species